GAAAUUAAUUAUUUGGAAAUCAAAAAUAAUUUACUACUGAGAUUUGGAAUACAUUUCAAGUUCCAGCUACAGAACAAUCUUGAAACGCAAGGUACUCCAACUAAUUGGAUAAAAUGCACUACACAAUAGACACACAAAAGACUAUAGUACCAGAGAAAGAACAGCCUGGUAAUAGCACAUGUUAGCGACAACUUGAUGUCUCCAACUUCCAAGAACCGACCAUCAAUGUUCUAGUCUUUGUUCCAAGCACAAGAAAUUUGGCAGUGGGAAAAUAAGCAUCAGACAACUUCAAAUUGUAUAUUGGGAGAUCUGUUGCCCAUACGUGCAUCAGAUAAUAAGUUCAAGUUGCAAUCUUAGUUGCAAUCCUGCAACAGAGCCCUUUAACUGCUGCAAAGCCUUCAUCAUCAAGAGAGACUGUGCUUAGACGUUUAAGUAGGGCAGCCUCUGUAACUUCGUCGAAUUCCUGCCUAGACCUGAACAAGAAAUAACCUCCACACUCCCAUGCUGAAAGG
rnacentral:misc_RNA from 1 species